rnacentral:lncRNA from 1 species
UGAUUCUUUUUUUUUUUUUUUUUUUUUUGUUCUCUUUAUGUAUUUCUUAACGUCAUUGUUGGCUGAAACGCAAAUUUUCCUUCGGGUUUUCAGAUCCAAAUAUGGCUUGCUAUGGCUUAUGAGGCAAACAACCGCCAUGGAGAUUGUAUUGCUUUGUACCGGCAAUUGGAGAAGACGCAUCCUAGUGUCAGCAUCCGGCGCCAGGCGGCUGAACUUCGCUAUAUUUUGCAAGCACCAAAAAUCAAGAUAUCUCAGGAGGAAAUGGUUACAAUACCACUAAUCGGUUCUAGUUACGACAGGUGAUCAACUGAUUUCUCUUUUCUUAUCACUGCUUGGCCUGCUUUCCAGUAUCUUGGAGCCUCAUUCUUCUAUAAUUUGACCAUUUGCAUGACUUUGAAUUUACCCUUAUGCAUAAUGUUAUCAUCACAUAUCUGCCUGCAAUUUUACUAUGGAUUUCCUCAUCAUUUUUUAACAUUCUUGUUAGAGAAAUUUCAUUACUAGCAUCUGGAAGUCUCUAUAAAGUAAAAACCUUCUCCUUUGGAAGAAAUAGAACCAAAAGGGAGGGAAAAACUUAACGUGUAUGAUAGUAUGAAGUUUCUUGUUUUGGUUUGGUAACCUGUUCUUCAUUUGGUGAAAACUUAGAAUGUACUGCUUGUUUAAUUCUUAUAACUUUUUUAGAUUUGUAGCCGAACGUUAGAGUUUUUCUAACCCAAACUCAGCACCCGACCCAAGUCCCGGAUUGGGGGAGACAUCAAGGGAACUCUUAUAUAACAUUUGAGUCUUUAUACUUCCAUAAAAUUAACAUUGAGUUACUAAAAUGUUUCAUUAUUAAUUCAAUCAAACAACAUGGAACAUGGACGAUCAAGUGCAAAUACAACAAGAAUUUCAAUGUCAAUAGCUUGUAUAAAAAGCAAGUCAACUAAAAAAAGGGUAUUAACCUUUUCUCUUCUAUAUCUAUUCUUGUUUUAACCAUUUGAAGAAAAUCUUGUUGUACACGUAAUAUGUUAACCCCGAGUCUAAUAUUUGUUCACAAUUUCACAUGAAGCAAAAGUUGCGUAUUGGAUUUGCUUUUCUGAAAUGAAAAAUGUUGAAAACGCACUUAAUUCUUGAAUGUCACUAUUCAGAACCAUGGCUAGCUAGCUUCACAUGGUUUCUAACAAGAGUCGUGAUUGAUGCAGCUAUGCAGCAACGUGGAGUGACAAGAACAAAGACAAAGACCAGAAAGGAAGCUGGUCAACCACGAAUCAGCUGCCGUCGUCUAAGGAUUAUUUGGGGGAUUUUCUUGUUUGGCGACCUCCGAUUGGCUUAGGAAAAAGCCAAGCCUUCUGGCUUGGGCUGACCUUGUGGCUUGGCUUGGUUGGUGCUGCCCUUUUACUUCAAAAGUGACACACUCCUUUAAAUGUAAAUAUUACUGUUUGUUAAUGCCUCAUGUAUUACUAUUCAUUUUCGAGUUUUCAGGUGGGUUUUGGUGUAUUUUUACGAUAUCAUCUUAUAAUAUAAGAUUUCCAAACUUUAUAGCGAUUUUGUUUAGUGUGCUAAUCACACCAUACUUUUAUUUAGUAUGGGUUUAACGGAUGGUUUAUGAUUUUAAUCUCUCUACUUUCAUACUUUAUAAGAAAUUACUUUUAUUUUUAUUCUUCAAACCCUAUCCCUGUUUCAUAAUCUUGAGUUUUGUUGCUUCCCAUCCUGGAGAAAUUCAAAAACAAGAGAGGAUGAAGUCGUUUAUUUCACUUAGAUAUUAAAAAAGGUUUUGAGAUUUAUUACUUAAUUGUUAUCUUACACUUUGGCAUGAACCAAAAAUUUUAAGAAUUUUCGAGCAUUUAGAUUGUGAGAAAAACGAGGAUGUGAUGAAGUAUUAUACAUUGCAAUAUUUAUUUUUAUUUCCAACUGAUUGAAACUUCGGUUGCCAACUCAUGUUGUAGCCAUAGUUGACUCUAUGACAAAUUUCUAACCAAAACUUUGUGUGACAAAGAUAACAAAAGUUGUUAGAAAAUGUAAAAUAUAAUCAAAAUUAGUUCAAUUGACAUUAAGUAUGUACGAGAACUUUAAACUUGAGGUUUGAUGUCUAAUCUAUAUACAGGAGGUUUUACUUGUAUAAAUUAAUCAUUAACAUGAUUAUUGUUAUUGUUUUCGUACGAUUAAUGUUUGAAAGUACAUUCAUCAAAACAUACAUCAAUUAGUCAAGAUAUUGCAUCAUCAACUAAAUGUUUACAUUCACCUUGUUAAACUAAAAAAAACAAUCGAAAAAACUAUAGUCCAUCAAAAUCAAGACAAACUAUGCAACUUAACCAUUGUCAAGCAAAUUGUGAACGAUAUAUUUGAUUGCCAUUUUAAAAGCAGAUGGCAAUAUGUGAAUAACCAACUGCUUAUUCUAACUUACACACAUUACUAUCAAUCUCAGAGUUUAUGGUUUAACUCGUCACCUCCCAAAUGUGAAUAAUAAAAAGUCUCGAGUACUUGUGUGAAGGUAAAAAUAGGUAAAGUACAUGCACACAUGAUAUGGCAUCUAAUUAACAUCAAUGGAUGCUGUACAUAUUCCCAACUUUUCCAUAAUUUGACUUUUGAUCGAAAAAAUAAAAAUUUAUAUUAAACUACACCUUUAAAUAUUAGUAUGAUUGUUCUUGAACUAUAUUUAAAAUUGGGUAAUUGUAAUUGAAUUUGAGAAAUAAUAGUUAAGGAUAUAACAACAUUUUACAAAAAUUGCAAAUAUAGCAAAGCUACGCUGAUAGACUUGUAUCACUGAUAAACUCGUAUGAUCUAUCGGUGAUAGACUCUAUCAUUGAUAUAAUUUGACAAAUUUUGCUACAUUUGCAAUUUUUUUAAAAUGUUGCUAUAUACUUACUUAUUUUGAAUUUAAUUGCUAAAUUUGUAACCAUCCCUUUAAAAUUUGAUUUUAAUUUGUACAUUUUCAAAUAUCUAAAUUUAUUCAUUUUACUCUAUUUAAAUUAUCAAAUUAUAAUUUUGAGUUUUAUUGAAAAUAAAAUUGUACCAUGGGUAAAAAACAUAAACCAAAAGAGUAGUUUUGAAAAAAAUUAUACCAACAAAAUACUAGACCACAUUUAGAUUUAAUCUUUUUAUAAUUUUAACAUCUUUUAGAAGUCAUGUUCAAAAUCACUUUUAAAAUUGUAAAAAGAGGAGAAAAGAAGAACUGGGGUUAGAAGAAUAUGUUCAUGUGAGUAACAAAGUAUAUUGAUUAUAUAUUAGUAAAAAAACCAUUAAGUGAAUUGUAAUUUUGUUCACUAUAUUUAUAUAAAAAUUAAGUGCGUAAAUAAGACUCAUUAUACGCAAUAGAACACUUAAUCAUCACCGUCUAUAAGAGUUGCCUUUCAAAUGUUUGAUUUUGAAAAUAUUUUAGACAUGAAAACAUUAAAUUCAAUUAUAUUGUUAGAUAAAAAUGGGCAUAAGUUUUUCUUUUCUUUUGAAAUAUAAAUAUUUACUCUUAACUUUAUCAAAACAGAUGCUCUUGAGAUAAAGAAUUACAAGAAUCAACUUGGGCUAGGGAUAAUUACUGGAGGAAAAAAUCAACCCAAAGAAAGAAGAUUUAAUGAUUGAGUUGAAUGAACUUGAACUUUAGUUAAAAUGGGGCUAACACACGUAGUUAUCACUAAACUUUAUGCAAAUAUUAAAUAUUAAUUUGUUUUGUUUAUACAUAUUAUAUAAAAACAGUAAAGUUGAGGGGCCUUGGACCUAUACUAAAUCCGCCGAUGAAGAGGAUCACCAUAACAAAUUGAACUCAGUAAUAAUAAAGAAACUACCAAGCUCAUUGACAAGAACCUUGCUUUACUAUUAUAAAUUCAAUCUAAGUUUGAACAAGACUACGUUAAUUACUCUAAUUAGCUAUAUAAAAAAGGAUAAUUGUACUUGACAAAUUUUACUAAUAUUUAUAAAUUUUUUUAAAAUAUUGUUAUAUACUUUGUUGUUUUGAAUAUAACUACUAAAUUUGCCAUUAUCUCCCUCCAAAACUUCCAUCAAUAUUUCCUUUGGGCCGGAUCGAAUAUUUGGGCCUUUGGAAACAUAUUGAGCUCAACCCAAUAGAUGGCGUCACGAAGCCCAUACUUUCCUCUUAAUAUCUCGAGGCCCAAGUCCAUGACAGAACAACACACUCUUUAUCCCAACUCAUAUAAUCCCUCAAACCCUAUUGUCAUUCCAUCUCCUCCGAGCAGCCGAAACCCUAGGGUGUGUGUGUGUGAGAGAGAGGGAGAGAUCCGCCAUGACGACUCGUUUCAAGAAGAACAGGAAGAAGAGAGGACAUGUCAGUGCUGGACAUGGUAGAAUCGGCAAACACCGAAAGCAUCCUGGUGGUCGGGGAAACGCUGGAGGUAUGCACCACCACAGGAUUCUCUUCGAUAAGUAUCAUCCUGGUUAUUUCGGUAAAGUUGGUAUGCGUUAUUUCCACAAGCUUCGCAACAAGUUCUAUUGCCCGAUUGUAAACGUCGACAAGAUCUGGUCAUUGAUCCCUCAAGAAGUGAAGGAUAAAGCCUCCAAAGACAACGUUCCAUUGGUCGAUGUUACGCAGUUCGGAUAUUUCAAGGUUUUGGGCAAGGGUGUCUUACCGGAGAAUCAGCCUAUUGUGGUGAAGGCCAAGCUUGUGUCCAAGAUCGCCGAGAAGAAGAUUAAGGAGGCUGGCGGCGCGGUGGUUCUUACAGCUUAGGUUUGAGUUUCUCUUCGUUAUAGAGAUUUUUGUUCUUGGUGAAUUUUCAUUUUUGUCUGUUUGAACUUAUUGAACUUCUUUUUUCUUAUAUAAUUUAAAGCUUUUUAUGGGUCCAUAUUCUAAUAUCUGGUGCUACGUUCAAGCUCUGUUCUUACUCAAUUAGUGUUUAAUUCUUAGACUAUGCAAGAGGAAUACAUGGUUGAUUGAACUAUUAAGCGUAGUGCAAUAAGAAAGUGUACUAAAACUUUGAUGGCACCAUAUUUCUUUCAACAUUGAUUCGAUGGAGUCUACUUAAUUUUCUAGUCAAGUGAUUCGAGAAAGUGAACUGAAACUUUUGUAAAAACAUGACAUUGAUCAGAACUUAUAGGAAAAAAUUGGGACUUCUAAUUCAUUUAUUUUAAAGUAAUUUGGCCAUAUAAUUUUACGAAAAGUUUACCUUCUUGCUGAGCAUUCUUAAGAGGGGUUCUGACUGAUAAUGAUGGACAACCAGGAACAGAUGGUUCUUUCCUAUAAGUACUUAAAAGAUUAUAAAUUUAUAUUACACACUCUGAAGAGUCAAAUGUAUAUAAGGAAAAGGGACUUUGGUUACUCUAAUUUCCAUUUGGUUUCCAGUAGUUUCAAAUUUUGAAAUUUUGCUGCUCUAUAUCAGUUUUCCUUCUGUCUUUCCCUAGACGGGGUUUGAAGCCCGAUCUUAAGAUUUGAAAUAGGGCAUGGGACGAGUGGUGUCAAAUAAGCAUUAAAAUAUAGACAUGUAUAUACUUGUUUUACUCUCAAAUGUAUAGUAUUUUUUUGCCAUGUUUAACAAGUUUAGAAUUUCAAUUAGUUCUAUUAUGGUUUUUGCCAUGUUCCAAUCUGGUGGUUAAUGUUUGAAUUGACUGAUGAUAAACAAGUACUUACAAAAGUUUCUCGAUCAAUGAGCAUGAAUAGAAUUGCAAUUUUCUCUACUUUUUUUUUAAUGCAUAUGAAUAUCUAACAUUUUGGACAAUAGUGUAAUACCAUUUUAACAACUUGAUAACCAGUUUGAAACUUUUCAUGCUUUAAGGGAUUUCACUUCAUAAUAGAUAAUUACCGUCGGAACCACUGGAAGGAGAAUGGUUUUAAAGUUAGAAGUGAUUUUGUAGGAUGUAAAAAUCAUUAUUUAAUUUACAUUCUCAUAUUUUAAUUUCAAUGAUCAAUUUAUGCCAUAUGUGUGAGUGUGUAUAGGAUAGAAUGAGAAUUUUGAUGACUUCUGAUAUCCCAUUAGGUUUUAGGUUUUGGUUUUGAAAGAUAUAUGUUCGUUCAUUUUUCUGGACAUUUUUCAACAUUUGAAUUAUUAAUAUAGUUGAUAACAAAUUUCAUCAACUUAUAGAUACUGAAUAUGAUAUUAUUUGCUCAUAUUUUGUUCAAUGAGUGAGGAUACUAAUGAAAACUCUUAUAAUAAAAACAUGGUCUGAAAACUUGAGCCUGAAUUAAUUUGUCCAUAGCCAGUUGAGGUCUCGAUGACCAUUUAAAUUUCGAAAUUUGUGUGUGCUUCCUCACUCUCUCCGUCUCUUUUUUCUUUUUCUUGACUUUCUUUUUUUUUUAGAGAUACUUGAUUUUUUUAUUUAAUCAGAUAUAAAAAAAAACCAAUAUUAAAAAAUGGUUUAUUAUUAUAAAAAUUAUAAAAAAAUACCAAAAUAGACAAAAAAAAAAUCAAAUUUGAAAGGAUUUUGUCUUUGGCUUUUGUAAAUGUAAAUAGUUUGUUUGUUUUAUUAUCUUUGAGAAACGCUUUGAACAAAUAAUUCGUUGAUCCUAACAGAAUCAUAUUGGUAGUGAGUAAAUAAACAAAAAAAAGAAGACAAAAAUGAAACCCUUUAUCAAAUAGGAUGUAUAACUAAUUUGAACUUCUUCAUCACAUCCCCAUGGACAGCAAUGCCAAUGUUGGUUGGUUUUUAGCUUCCCUCCAUGCUUUUAGAAGUGAUUCUAUUAGGAAACAGUGGGACCUCCCCAUUUCCUUAUUCUAUCCUCAGCAACAGAUGCCUGCAUUUUCAUCAUUCCAACUUCUGUCAUUUUUUCUAAACCAAAAUUCCAUUUCUGUUCAUGGUUUUUGAAAAUUAACUUAUAAAUAGCAUUUUUUUUUUCAUCAUUAAAUCUUUUGCUUUGGUAUUUGCUUUCUAUCUAUGUUUAACAAACUUAGGUCAAAGUUUGAAAACUAUUUUUUUUUUAAAAAAAAAGAUAUGUUUUUUAAGUUGGUUAAGAAUGCUAACUCUUUUAUUUUAUUUAAGCUAAUUAUAAUACGUAGUGAAUUUAGGAUUUUUCAAAAACUGAAUAUAACCUAUGGCAAGUAAAUUCUUAUGGUCUAUCAUUGUAAACUCUUUUAUUUUAUUUAGGAGUAAUAUUGGUCUAUUAUAUACUAUAUCCCUCUUAUAAAGAAAAAUAGAGUUGAUUUUAGAGAAAACCAAAAUAGUUACCCAAAAGGGCUAAAUUCACCCAAAAGGAAAUCUUACCUCUUCAUUCCAAUUGGUUUUGUACACCAUCCAUACCAAUAUGAAAGUCUGAAUUAUGGUUCCUCCAAUCAUGCCAGACCAUAUUCCCUGCAAAAAUCAAUGGUAGUUGCAAUGGUUAUGGCUGAUAAUUUAAUGUUAUGGUAAAUUAUUUAAAAAAAAACUGUAAAUACUUUGAUCGACGAUCAGUUAGCAAUACAAUCAGCAAGUUUUUGUUUGAUUGUUAUAUUUAUAAUUUUUCAAGAAAUUAAAGAAAGAUGGACGAGGAAUUCCAUAAAGGGGUUUUUGUUUUCCAUUUUCUAGGGAAUAAUGAAAUAAGUUUCAUUGUUCUAGAAAUCAAAAGAAUGGAAUUAUUAAAAGAAAUUAUUUAAGGAGUCCACUAAUCUCGUGGCAUUUAACAGUUCUGUAUGGUUAGAUUCUGGAGUUUGUAUACCGUAAUUAUUAAGAAGCAUGCAAAUUCAUUCGAUAAUUAUUAUGAAACAAGUAGAUGGUGACGAAUUCAUUGAAUAAUGUUUUGAUAAACUGAAGGGACUUACCAAAACACCCCAGUGAAGAGCGAAACCCAAAAGAAGGCCCAAAGGAAUCCCAAACAAAUAGUAACAGCCAACAUUCACAUAAGCCACAACAGCUUGCCAUCCAGCUCCAACAGCCACUCCUGCAGUUUAAGUUCAUUUCCAUCAAAAAACACGUACUAAUCGAACAACACAUAGACGGUUUGGAAUGAGUUUUCAAGUAUUUAGAAAGUCAUUUCAAACAGUCUUGAAAUCCAAGAGUAAAAUAGAAGUAAAACCGGAUAGAACUGGUUGGAUAUUGUUGACGACAAUGCAGAAACCAAGCAUAGGAGUUAGGUUCUUGACAAUUUGUCUCACGGCUGAAUCAUUCGAAAAUAAGUAAGGAUAAUCGUCCUUUGUGAUAAUGAGAAUAGCUGUUAGAAUGAGACCCACAACGAACGACGAUGCUACAGCUACUACCAAUGAAAAUCUUGCUGUUCUUGGAUGUGCUGCUCCCAAUUCGUUUGAUACUCGAACACUACAUAUAUUUUAAAAGAUUUAUGAUUAAUAUCUACUUCAAAAAUACUAUCAAACAUAAACUAAAAUAUAAUUAUUCAAUUCUAGUUUCAGCCCAUAAGAGUGAUUAAUGUUUUGUUACUAUUAUAUACUUGAACAUAUAUAGUUGGAGUUACUUUUUAUUUUUCAUGUUUGAGAUCACAAUCAAACAUGUUAGUAGUAAUUCGAAUUGAAUUAAAUAUUGGAUGUCUAAGAAAAUCUAUGGUAAAUGUCAAAAUUGCUAAAAUUAUUUACAAAAUUUAAUAACUAAUAACACUUCUAAAAUUUUGAUAUAUUUAAAAAUGUCUCUUAAUCUAACCUUUUAAAACAUAAAUUUUGCAUUAUUAAAAUUGAUUUUUGAAGUAACAGAAACAUAAGUUGAAAGUGAAUUAAACAUGGAAUAAAAGAAUACAUGCUCUUAGUAAAUGUUACGAAGAAUAAUAAUAAUAUGAAUAGUGAUUUCUUUCAUUUGUACCUUAUGGCUGCAUUUAUUCCAAAAGCGACCAUCACAGUCCACCCCAAGAUGUUCGUGCUGCACCAUAUAAAACACACCAAAUUAAUAUAGAAGUGAUUCUGUACAAUUUCGAAAUUACUUUAAAGAUUCUACUAUUUUGAUUUUCAAUUGACAUUGGAAAGUUUUCUUUAGAAAUUACAACAGCCUUUCUUUUAUUUCUUUUUUAAUUACUUCCUUGUCAAAAUGGGAAUUGCUAGAAAAGCCUUUUUCAACUCCAUAUAUAAUAUGGAAAAAAUCGAUGUAAAUGACUAAAAACUAUUGAUCUCAACCUAGAUGUACAGAGAAUUCAAGACGAGAUAUGGGAAUAACUUGUCAUAAAAGUGUUACUUGUAGUAGAUGUUUCUAAAACUUUUUUCAAAAAAAUUUCUUAUAAACUCCAUAAUUAUUUCAUCCAACUCAGCAAUUGUCUUUGAUGAAUGGCCAAAAACAAUAAAGGCCAAGAUGAAGUACAUUUAUUCAAAGUAAGUGGGUCUCCUCAUAAGAUAAAAUGGAAAUUUUCUUUUCAAGAUUUUAGCCCCGUGAUAAUGAACGACCUGCCUACUUUGAAUGAAUAAAUGUACAUCACCUUUAAUUCCAACCCACUGUAUUUAUUCAUUCUCUUGCAAGUCAAUAUAGUUCUUCGAGAUUGUCUUUGGUUAAUAAUUGGAAAAAAAAUCCGGGAAAGAAUCACACUUUCAAUUUGAUAUUGGUUGGAUUUAAUUUUUAUUUGGUUUUUGAGUUUUAAAUUGUGUUACAUUUUUAUUUGGUUUUUGAGUUUUAAAUUGUGUUACAUUUUUACUGUAUAUAUAUAUUUUUUUAAUUUCAGAAACAAACUAUAAAUAUAGAAUUUUAAAAUUGAAGGAUAAAAAUUAUUAAUCAAUCAAAACAAUUAUGAUAUGAUCAAAGAUAUAGUUGGAAAAAAAAAAAAUUAUUGAUUUCUAACUUUUCAUUUAUUUAUUUUAAAUAUCUUUUCUUCCAAAAUAAAUACCAUGCAUUUAAUACUGACUGUCAACCAUCCCAUCCACGAUAAUGUUAUUAUAAUAUAUAUAGAUCAAAAUUUUCAAUUCACACAUUUCCUGUAACUUUCUAUCCGUUAAUUAUAUUUAUUUUUAAAUUUAAUAAAAUAAACUACAAUAUUUAAAAGUUAUAAAGAUCAAACUAAAUCGUUAUAUAUAUAUUUUUUAUACCAUGAUACACAUAAAUAAUAUUUUAAUAUAUUUAUAAAUAUUUUCGUAAAAAAUGUUGUUGAAAUUAAUUUUUUUCUUGACAAAACACGAUGGAAUUGACUCAGUAUUGAAGUCGAUGAGUGGAGUUGUUACUUUUGGCAUUAUCUUAUGUCCGUUCAUGUAAAUUAAAGCCAUCAAUGGUAGAUAUGGUUUGUUUUACCUUUUUCAUGCGAUAAGAUGGAUCGAUUAAAUACUCAAUUAUUAUUAUAAAGCAACAAUUAACCUAAUAUUACGUACCAUAUGGACAGCGCGUCAAUGGAAACUUCGGCGUUCUUCAAAUAUCCAGCAAACAGUAUCAGAGCCAUAAAAUACCAUAUCUCCAAACUGCAUAAUUAUAGCUCAUCCGUUACUAAUUUAUAUCAGUAAUCACUAUUACUGUUUAUUUUUAGUUAAAUCACUUUGUCAGAAAGUAGUAUCCAUGGAGGAUCAUAUAGAUAUAUAUAAAGAUAUAUAGCGGACCUAUCACUUAUGAGUAACAUUGCGAAGUUAAGACUCUAAAUUUAAGUCACGUAAAGAACUUUGGAAGACCUAUGGCGACUUUGGUUGAACCUAUUGAGAACCUCCUAGGACCCCUGGAUGUUCUAACAGAGGUUGAGUUUGAAAAGUCUCUUAGAUUCUCAACAAAUGGCCCAUAAAGAAUUGAGCUAGAGGUUGAUGCAUUUACACUUGGAUGACAACCCUAAGUUAUUAUGGUAGUGUGUAACUAUACCCAACCAGUUAAGGGCUCAUUGAUUCUUAAAUUUAUUUAAGAAUAAUGAUGAACUUGAGCAUCAAUUACACAUCAUUGUUCUAAAUUUAUUUGGUUGUAGGUACAAAAAAAUUCUACUAUUUUCUACCAUAAACAUACCUACAAAUUCGAGGUUGAUUUAACUAUCAGAGUACUACGUGUGAUUUAACUAUCAAAAUAUGUGUGACUUAAGAUCAUUUCAGUUUCUCUUGUUUCAUAAAAAAUUGACUAUUUUUUAAUCUAAUCUCAAAAUUAUUUAGAAUUAAAUAUAGAUGAAUUUCAACUCAAAACUAUAACAGAUUUUUACAACCAUCCAACUCUAUAUGACAUUUGUAUAGUAAUUAAUGUUGAACUAAUUAAUGCACCAAACAUGUAUAUAUAGUAGAAUAAAUUAAACAUAGACAAACCAUUAAGUCAAGUUCAUACCUACUCAAAGGAAAAAAAAUUCAUGUUUAUGAUUUACAUUUACCUUAUAUCAUAUAAUUAAUAUUCUUUCUAGAAGAAAAUGCACGUAGCAGGUAUUAAUAAAAUAAAUUAAACCUACUUAAAUAAUAAUCAAAUAAUUGAAUCUCUAAAUAAUCUAAUUAAUAUUUUAUUAAAAUUUCACACUCUAUGGAAAUGCUCAAAAUUACUUUUAAAACACCUUGGCGUUGCUUGUGGGUUUGCCAAACUAUAAAAUGAUUUAUAAUUUCUAUAUAUAAAAAAUGUAAGAUAAAUCUUAGAUUCAAACUACUAACACAUAUAAUAUAAAAUAAAUAAAUUUGAAAAUACAGUAAUAUUUUGAUGUUAUAUAACAUAUUGUUAAUAUUAAUGAAGUAUAUUAGUGAUGUUACUCAAGUCUAUCAACAGUAGUCUACUCAGUGGAUUUUGCUAUAUUUGUAAUUCUAAAAAAAUAUUUUACUCUAAAAUUUCUAUUGUUAACUCAUUCAUUGAGUUUGUUUUUUAAAAUUAACCAUAUUUUUCUUGCAAGUUUACAAUAAAUUUAAUCUUAAAUACUAUGGUUAAAUUUUUAACUAAAUUUUAAAAGCAAAAACAACGUUUUAAAAGCUAAUUUUCUUUUAGAUUUCAAAAUUUUGAAUGAAAGAAAAUUGAAUGCUGAAAUAGCUUUCUACAGACUUAAUUUAGAAAAAAUUACUAAAACAACACAUCAAUUAUUGGUUCCUAAAACUACUGUCAAUUAUAAAAUACGCAAAAAAAAAACCUAAUCAAUCUAGUUAACUAACCAAGAGGCCAAUUGUAAUGUUUGACUAAAGUUUUUAGAUAUUGGCAGAUGCUAAAGUUUUUUUUUAUCUUAGAAAGAGAGAUUUUUUUAAACCAUUUUUUCCUUUAUAAUUAAGGGAUGAAUGACUAAAUAGGGAAAUGGUUUAGGGCAAACUAUGCAUCCAUCAAUCAAAAAAGAAAAAGAAAACCUAUAACAAUCCAAACCUAUAUUAAUGAAAGUAAAUAAAAAGUUCAAAAAAAAAAAAAAAACCACUCCUGAAAAAACAGUAAAAAUUAGUCCUAUAUGAGUUUAUAUCGUUAGUAUAAUUCGAUGUUAAUUUUCUAUCUCUACAAUAAUUUUUUUAAUGUAUGGCAAAAAAUGUUGCAAGUAAAAAAGGGUUAAGAAUCCUAAUAUAAUCGAAAAAAAUGGUAAAAGAAACUGACCAGAGCAUGACCGCAGAUGCAAGAGAGAGUCUAACGAAACCCCAAAGAUUGUGAAACGCUUGCCACGAGAAACCAGACCAAGCUCGGCCACAGCUUCCACUUAAUAUAUAAACAAUCUGAGCAAAAUCGAUCACCCACCAUGAUGCAUUAAGCACUAUGGCACCACCUGCUAAACCCCAACCCAGCUUCAGCAUGAACAGCCAAGUAAAGAACGUGUGGAAUACCUGAAGGAGUGUUCAACAUAUAAAUUGAUUAUAACUUUGAUAUUUUUAAUAAAUCUUAUACUUAAUUCUCUUCAAGUUAAAUUUUACUAAAUAGGGUUCACUAUAUUUUAGUGAAAAGACUCAAAGAUUUAAAAUAAAUUAAAAAACUAGGAGUUAAGAUGUUCUAAAGAUUAAUAAAUUAAUUUAUUAAAAGCAUAUAAACCAAAAAUUAAUAUUUGAACUUUCACAAUAAAUUAAAGUUUGCUGGAUGACUAUUUAAAUUUUACUUUUGUUAUUUUUUAAAGAGAAAACCUAUGAUCUUUUUAAUAUGAGAAUUAUAGUAAUGGGUAAAAUUGUAAAAGUUAUUUAUAAAAUAUAAUAACAUUUCUUAAUAAAAGCGAAUAAACAUUGAUAGAUUCCUUCAAUUUUUAUCAAUAAAAGCUUAAAUUUGUGUAAAUAUUUUGUUUUAUUUUGAGAAUAUGUUAAUUUUAGGUUUAUUUUUAUUUCUUCACAAAAAGUGUUUAUGUUUUUUUUUUUUAAUUUUCCUUUGAUUUUACCCAUGACUUUUUAGAUGUGAUUUUUUUAAUAAAAAAAGUGCUAAUUUGAAGAUAUCCAAAAACAUCAUUGAAACUAUCCAAAUAUAUAUAUAUAUAGACAUUUUUAAAAAUAACAAAAUAUAAUAAAAUACACCAAAUACUUUAAAAGCUUAUUUAAUUUUUUUUGGAAUAGCUUCAAUACUUUUUUUUAUCUAUACAAUUCUCUUAAACGAUACAAUAAAGCAAAGCAAAAAAAAGAAAAUUAUAUAUGAGAAAAAUUGUUAAUCUUUUUUAGAAUAAUAAAAAAAACAAACUAUAUAUUUAAAUAAAAUAAGUUUAUAUAUAAACUAAAUUUUAAAAAACAAAACUAUGAAAGUAGAGGUCUAAAUGCAAGGAUUUCUAAGUUGAAUAUAUAAAAAAACUAAAGCAUACCAAAGCCACAGCGGAGAUGACGGACAUGGCCAUCAUCUUGCUCUGCGCCUGCAAGAAUUUGCUGACCGGAAAGUUAAGAGCGUAUGCAUAAAGCUGAGGAAUCAUCCAUAUCGACAGUACUCCCGCCGCCUCCGAUAUCUCCGCCGUCUGUCCGAUCAGCUUCAAUAACGGCGCCGAAAAUAUGUAAAUCGGCGUUAGAACCACCGCCGUUGUAAGGAGAAUCACCCACGAUCUUUGCAGGUACACUCCCAUCAUACCCAGCUGCCCUGCCCCGUACGCCUGCCCGCACAGCGUUUCCAAUGCACUUCCCAUUCCCAGCUGCACUUCGUCAUUUUUCAAAUUUUAUUUCACAUUCUAAAUUAAUUCAAAUUUUAAUUUACAUUUGACACCAUAAAGAUAGAUAAUUAGUAGUUUGUUUACACUAAAUUUAAAUAUAACACACAAUUAUAAUAAAUGAAAAUAGUAUAUAAAAAAUUUGUAUAACAUUUGACAAAAUUUUAUAUUUAAUAAAUUGAUUUUAUCUUUGGAUGGUUUUAUUCUAUGUAGGAUAAAUAUUCUAUUUUGAAAAAAAAAAACUAUUACUAAAAUUACGGUAAAGUAAUUUUACUUGUAAAAAACACUUCAAAACCACAUUCAAUGUUCAUUUAUUGUCAUGUUAAUGUAUUUUUUUAAUAAAUUCGGUUGGGUGUAGUCUAGACAAUAGAUUUUGUUUCUUCUCUAUGUUUAGAAUGAUUUUAAAAUAGUUAGUGUAAAAUCUUUCAAAGAAAAAAUACCUUUGAUCUUUCAAAAUCAUUUUUUUUCUGUCAAGUUGUGUGUCUAGAAGUAAGAUAAUGUAAAAUAUUGAGAAAACAAGAACUAAAAACAGACAAGAACAAUAUACAAGAUCAUUCUGAAUAUAGACAAAAUAAUAAUAAUAACAAAUGGGAUCUGGAAAAUAUUAGAUAAGUUUACAUCAAGUCCUCAACUAUCCAUUUGAAAGACAUGAAAUUUUACAUCAUUUUAGAUAAACAUGAAUUUACACUGAUUGACCAUAAUAAUACAAAUAACAACUAAAGAAGAAGACACCAAAUCAAAUUUGAAAACUAAUAAUACAAAAUAUCUAUUUGGAUUUUACAAACUAUUGUACUAUCCUUAAAUGAAAGAAACUUUUAUCUAAAGACAAACCAACAAUGAGAGUGUUAUUAGGUUUACUUUCAAAAUAUACCGACAAUUAGUACAAUCUCGAUAUUUUGUACAUGGAAUUUUUAACUUGCUAUAUCUAGAUUUGAUAGUCAAUUAAUUAAUUUUUAUAGCCUCAUGUUAUUUAAGGUACCAAGUUCAUCAAACUCACUCGAAUAGAUAUUAGAUAAAAUGAGUUUUUAUUUGAUAAAGAGUAAAUGUUGAAAAAUACAAUAUUAAACAGAGAUAUCAAGAACACCACAUUCAAACGAUAAAAAAAACACCAAUCUUUGUAAGAUCGAGUAAUUAUUGUGGUCCAUUAAUUUAUAAAUAAAAUAUAUUACUAAUUCCAGUAUACAUUAGCGUAGGUUUUAAACCAUAUGAUUAAAAGAUAUUAUUUGGAGGUUACGUACAACACUAGAAAUAGAAAAGCUAUUGAUCUAAAAAAUGCAAAAUACAAUUUUUCUUCACUUCAAAAUAAUAUUAGGAAAAAGAAUUGGAAUGGGAAUUUUUACAUUUAUUUAGGAUAGAAAAUAAUGUCAAUUAAAUUCAGAAGAUUUUACAAAAAAGAAAAAAAGAUGUGCAAAAUUAUAUAAGACAAUUUUUAAAUAAUCAAAAUAUUUACUAAGAUAUUAUGAUUGAUUUAGAUAUAAUAAGACAAGUAGUCUGUCCGUAAUAUUUAAAACAUUUCCUCAAUUCUAGAAUUCAUUUUCCAAUAGCUUUUCCACUUAAUAAUAUAAAUAAAUAAAUAAUUAAGUUUGGUUUUUCUAAAACAAUAAAUAAAAAACUAAAGAGUUAGGCAAGAAGAUUGAUAACGAAGAAUUUAAUUUUUGUAAAUAAUUGCAGAAAAAGGGGGAAAGAGUACGUGCCAUGAUGCCGAAGGAAAAGCCAGCAAUAACGGAAUUCUCAACGGAGACGGCGGCAAGUGCGAUGGUGCUGACUUGUCCGGCGAAAAGUUGAGUGAUGGCUCCGAAAGAAUAUUGGCAAAUGGAUGUGAAAACCGCCGGAGCUGCAAGGUACCACAGUUUCUUUAAUUCGAUACAGAACUCUCUGUAGAAAUCACGUGCGGUGUUGAUUGGAGGGAUGUCAUCGGCGUCGGGAGCAAAAAGAACCUUCGUAUCUUUCCUGCCGGAUUCCGGCGAGUCGAUCAGUUUAUUUUCCUCACUCUGCGAGAGAAGUGGCUGAGAAAGUUCCGCCAUUGAACAAAGAGAUUAGGCGUACAGCGUCACACUCUGCUUGGCUAACGCACCCAAGAAAACCCACCGGUUUUUAUACUAACAAUGUUUUACUUUAAUUUGUGCAAAAGUACCAAGCUAGCCUUCAACUCUCUCUCGCAAAAGUGUAUUUUUAACUUAUUUUACAUUUUCAAACUGUUGUAAAAAAAUAUUAUAUUUUCAAAUAACAAUAAUAAACCAAAAUAUUUCAAAAUUUUGGAUUUAUCCAUUCUUUUUCUUUGAUUGAAUAUAAAAAAUGUACUGAAUAGAAACAGCUGUAGAGUGGGGGUAGAUGAAAUGUGUGUUGGAAAAUCUUCAACGUGGGGUUACCGCUUCGUAAAGCGCUUAGAUAUGUAUGGACGAUAAGAAUGGGUCACGUUGGUGCAGCCACUGACACUGUGCUUCUUUAUAUGGCAUCAUUUCUUUAACUAGUAAAGUCAUUGUCCUGUCACGUCCCUGUUCUUCACAUUUAUUUUUUAACAUUGCUCUCUAUGGUUAGUCAACUACUCGACGUUAAAUAAGUUAACUCAAGAUUGAAUGUGGUUUGGCCAUUUGGGUUAUAAUUAUUGCAAAUUUAAAUUAAACAUAAUAUAUCUAAUUUAGUUGUCAUAUUUAUACACUAAUUUAAUACUAUUUUUAUUUAAGUUUGAUCUAAUUUAUUUUAAUAAAUUGGGUUGACAUAGUUUUGGGUAUAACUGUCAGUGGUAUAAUUUAAUUGGAUGAACAACAAGUACCAUCAUUUGAUUUGCCCACUUUCAUAUAUUUCAUUUUAAUUUGAAGGCACGUAUAAAUUUGUAAUUGAAAAAAAUAAUUACAUGUUAAUUUGUGAUUUAUCCAAAUUUCUCACGUAAAUAUUAAACAAAUUGUAUAGUUAUUAUAUAGUAAUACCAGAAUUUAUUGCAUCAUACAUACUUUUAAUUUAAAACCAUAAACUGAGUUUCAUCACAUUCUAUAUUUAAAAACAUUUUAUUUUUAUGUUAAUAUAAUUACACAUCCCAAAUUUUAAAAUUUUAAAAUUGAGUAGGUUAAAACAUUGUUUUAGAAUGAAGUAUAUUUAAAACAUAAUUAUAAGGCUAUUAGAGAAUUUAAAACAUAACUAUAAAGCUAUGAGAAAAUCAUCUUUUUCAAUUUGUUACUUUUAUGAAUUUUAAAAAUAUUAUGAUAUGAAUUUUAUUAUCAUAAUGUUUUUACUAUUCUUUUUUUAAAAACAGAUCCAUACAUAUAAGUCACAUAAAUGUUGUGGAUGAGAUAUUAAUCCUCCCACCCAAAUAAUUAGAAGAAACAAAAGGAUAUUGACUAAAUCUGAGUAGAAAUUCAAAAUUAACACAACAAUUAAUGCCUUGUCUGAACGUAGAGUGUGGAAUGCAAUUGAAAAUUUCAUAGGGUUCCGAAUCUGCCGGCAUCUCCCUUAUUUAACAAUUAUAGUUCACAAAUCUUCUAAAAAAACAAUUGAAGUGUUAAUCACAUGCCUUUGCACGCAUUUCAUGCUAGUUUCUAUAUCAAGAAGAUGAAGAAAUUAUAGAAUUUUGUUGCGUCUACGAGCCCACGCUAACUUAUGAUAAUAUGAUUCAUACAUUCAUACAUUUAUGAUAAUAGAAUUUAUAUCAUUACAUUUAAAAAAUAAUAAUUAAUUGCAAAAAUAGUAAAUUUAAAAGUUGAUAAUCAUAUGAUUACCGUCUAAUAAUCUUCUUAUAACUAUAUAAUAGUCAUAUGAUAUCACUGAUUUUAUCAUAUUCACAAUAUGUAGAAAAAAAAUGUCAUUAACUAUUGUUUUCUACAUGUUUUUGUCAUUUAAUGUAAUUUCUCUUGUUUUUACCAUAAAAUUUUAAUUAUUAACAUAUAAAUUGUAAACUAUUUUUUUUAUUGAAACUUCCUCGAAAUAUAGUAUUAUAACAACAGAUUUUUUGGUUGCAAUGAAUAUUUUCUGUAAUUACUUAAUUAGAGUAGUUAUUAUUUCAUUACCUUCUAUUUUUAUUCCUUUUACCAUUUUACAUUUUUUAUUUUAUUUAUUAUUUUAUUCUCAACCUAACCUAAAAUAUUGUAUCCAUCACAUGCAUGUUAUCAUGAUCGAAAUUAAAAUUAAUAUACCUCACAAAUAUAACUCCUUACCAUGAAUGCUCUUAGUAUUUUAUUUAAAAAAAUAUAAUUACAUUUUUUUAUAAAAAAAUGCUAAUGUUGAAUGAAAACUAUUAAUGUUUUAUUUCAACUUGGAUUUGUAAAAGUUUCAAUUGUUUUCUUCAACUUAAAAUAUUAAAAAAAACCUAUUACCUUUCGUUACUAGUAAUGAAGACUACGAUCAUUUUGUUUUAAAAACCAAUUAAAACUAAUCAAGAUUUAUGUAGUGAGUUGAUCUGUUCAAGGGAUCCUCCAAAGAAAAAAAAAAAAGAAAGAUAAUGACCAUCAAAUCAAUCGAAAGUGAUUUAAAUUGACAUCCGUCAAUUGACAAUGAUCUCAAAUUAAGGGGAUAUGCAUUAUGAUAAUCGAUACCAACUCAAUUUCAAUGCAUAUACCUACUUUAUUUAAUUAAUUAUGAAAUAUUUUUAUCUUUUAUGUCAAUAUAUAACAACAAUCAUGUAUUUUUUUCUUUUUUUCAUAAUGUAAUAAUGACAGCUACACAUUGAACGAAUAUCAUACUACACCUAAAAAUAAAUAUAUACAGCAAUCAAUACGAAAAUUAUUUAGAAAUCAUAUCUUAUAAUCCCUUGAAAUCUGAAUCUCAAUACAGUGAAUACAUUUGUGUUUUGUUUAUUUGAAUGGAGUUGACUUCUUAUUUGAAGGUAUUAUACAUUGGAGAGGAAAGGGAUUAGGGGAAAUCAACUUUUGUCCUUGGUUAAUUAUGAACCAACGUUGAUGCUACGAUGUGUGCAUGCUAAAGUAAUUUUUUUAAAGUAACAUUGGGAAAUUAAGGCUGAUCUAAACAAAUUGGAACACUUUAACUAUUUAACUAUUUGACUGUUUUCAUUUUCAUUUUCUUUUUUUUUGGAAAACGAAAGUCAUAUCAACCAACAAUCCUAUUAGUCCUGACAACGUUGAAAAGCUAAUAGAAAAAAGAAUAUGUCUAACUCUAAGAGACACAAGAGACAAGUUAGCAUAUUGGAUCUUCAAAUUAUUGCAAUCCCUAGAAAAGUAGCACAACUUUCGAACAACGUCUAAGCAACUACUAAGAGCGGACAUUUAAGCAUAAAAUUACACCGAAAAGAAAACAAGAAAGAGUUGAGGGACUUGACAACACUAGCGGCAUCAAAUUCAAUCCAAAAGCUCUCUAAAUCAAGUUCUUUUGCAAUAUGGUGAAAACUUACGUGCAAAGUAGAGAUUACCCCACUUUCUGUUUCCGCUUCCAAACAGUAAAGACAACAAUAAUAUUUUCUUUCGCAUUUCGCACAAUAUUGAAACUUUAAAACACGUGCAUCACACCUAGAUUUAUUCUAGUUAUAUUAAAAGAAAAAUUAUCACAAGAGAUAAAACUGUCAAAAAUAUUUACAAAAUAAAACAAAAUUUUAUCUUCUACAAAUAAUAAUGUCUGUCAGAUUUCUAUCAUUAAUCGAAUCUACAACUAAUAUUUUAAUUUAUUUGACAACAUCUUACAACAUUGACGUAUAAAAUCUAUAUGAUUAAUCUAUACUAUAUAUAAAAGUCUAGAAGUGGUUUUCUCUCCCUCGUGUCAUGUCCUUGCAUUUAGUAUAGUUUUAUUGCAAGUUUGUAUUCAAUUAAUUGUGGUUUUUAUAUUUAAAUAAUUGAGUAUUUAACAUUGAUGUGAUUUUUAUCUAAUUGCUUACUUCAAUUAAUUCUAAUUUUAGAAUAAUUAGUAGGUUUGGUUUAUUUCUUGUGAUGGGAACAAGUUUAAAUAGGUUUAUUUUUAUAAAGAAAAUGGAGAAGUUUUACAUUGAGGAGAAAAAAAAUUGGUUUCAAUAUUAAAUGUUGCAAUGUGUCAUUAAUGUUUCGACAGAGAAGUUAUAAGUUUUUUUUUUUCUUUGUGAUAUGAAAUAGUUUUAGGUUGAAGGAAAACUUUUUUGUUAAGACUAUAUAGUUUCUGCGUCAUUUAUUUCUAGACCAUUUAGUUUCUUUAUCAUUAAUAUUUUUCUUAACUACAGUUGUAUUUCUCACUCUAUAUAUACAUACAAGUUCUCUCUUGUAAUAUAAAAUGACAAAAAUCAUCCUCCUCAACCUUAAAAUAGACCAAGGAGCUUUAAAAACCUAUGGUUUGUUUUAAGGGUUGGUAGAGCGUAUAACUUUGAUGGCCAAGAAUCCAAGGUGAACCAAAGGAGAGAAGGAAAAGGCCAAAGGGGCCAAUGGGAAAGAAAAGUGAAAGCAAAAGUGAAAAACCCAAAACGAGAGGACCAAAUAAUAAUUAGUCAAUGAGAAAAAUGGGCAAAAAAAAGAAGAAUUAAUAUUCGAGGUUGGUAUGUAUCAUAUCAUUGAACAAUCUCAGUAUUACUCGGUGGUUAGGGAUGUAUUAUUGGACCUUAUUGGACAUUGUUGGUGGUAUAAAUUGUUUUCUUGUAUUUGGAUUUUUUUGACAAGGAUGACAUGAAAAAUUAACCAUAACCUCAAAACGAAUCUAUUUUAAUUUUAAAGUUUUACUUUUAUCGUUUAGAAACUUUUAGUUGCAGUUAAUAUUAUUUUGAUUAUACUUUGUAUUAUGCUAAUUAAUAUUAGUUUAAUCAUAUUAGGUAGACCCCACGUUUAUGGAUCAAUUGAUAGCAAAUUUAAAAAGAAAAAGAUGAGUAUGUAUCGGUCACAUAAUUUAUAUCUUAUUUAAACUAAUAAAAAUAGACUUUUGCACGUAUCACAACCAAAUGUAUACAAUAUCAAUGGGUAAGCUUAUUCCUAUUGCAAAAAAGAUACGGAUCAUUAUAAAAAAUCGAGAUUAAUCAACUUAAUUUUAAAAAUUUAAAAUAAAAAAUAAAAAUAGUUAUCAAACGAAACCUAAACUAAACAUUCUAAGAGUUUAAGAGACAUGGUCAGUGAUUUACCAUGGUUAAAAUCACUUUUUUUAGUCACUUUCGAAAUAUUAUUAAUUUUACUAAAAGGAAACUGCCAUUAAAGUAUAUAAUUAAAGUUUGAAUUGAUACUAAAGUAAUGUGUCUUUUACUAUUCCAAAAUCCUUUAAAAAAGUAAUCCAACACUUGGUAGGUUUCUUUUCGGUUCUUAGCAAAGGAGUUCACCAAAGACUGCUAUUUCUUUGCUUCUCUAAUCACUUUUUUUAAAAUCAAUUUUAAUAAAAUGAUGAAAUUGUUCUUGAAAGUAUUUAAUUAAAAUUUGAAUUGAUUUCAAAGUAUGGUGUUUUUCACUGUUCCAAAAUCCUUUAAAAAAGUAAUCCAAUACUUUGUAGGUUUCUUCCCAGUGCUUAGCAAAGGAGUUCAUCAAACACUGCUAUUCUUGUGCUUCUUUAAUCACUUUUUCACAAGUCACAUAGAAAAUACUUUUAACAAUGCUUCAAUUUUAAUAAAAUGGAAUUGCUUUAAAAAGUAUAUAAUCAAAGUUUGAAAUGAUUUUAAAGGUGUUUUUCACCAUUCCAAAAUCCUUUCAAAAAGUAAUCAAGCACUUGGUAGGUUUUUUUCCAGUGCUAAGCAAAGGAGUUCACCAACUGCUAUUCCUCUGCUUUUCUAAUCAUCACUUACAAAGUGCAAUCCAAUAUAAAGAGAAAGUAAAAGAUGACAUCCAAUCCAAUAUAUAACAAUAGAGUUCUUAUAAUAAGGUUAGAUAUGUAUGCUUGCCAAAGCUUUACAGUAAUUAUAUCGUGAAUUCGAACCGACACAUGGAAGCCGCCUGAUCACAUUCUUGAAUAACCCCUAUGGUCUUCAUAUUCCUCCAUGAAUGAAUCGUUGAACUUCUUGAAACUUGUCAUGAUUUCAGGCAUGUCUUCCUCAGCAGGCAAGAUGGUUGUUCUCAAAUGGAAAACCCUGUAAGAAAAAGAUCAGCCAUGGCAAUUGACUUUUAAGUUAUGCAAGAUCAUCAUGUUCAAGCCAAACUAUGUACAUUGUCGAGAUACAAGAAGACCAUAUUUAGUUCUAAAAGUAACAAUAGUUAGGAAGACGAUAAAAUUGAUUACGAGUGUGUUUGGAUUACUUUGUUUAAAUUUGAUGGAAAAAAAUCAUUUAAAUUUUUUUUGAAGUGUUUGAUAACUUUUCAAUAUGUAUUUUUAAAAAUAUGAGAUUAAAAAAUAAUAUAUAUAUUUUAAAAAAAACUCAACCAAAUUUUUAGAAAAUAGGUUUUUAGCAAUUGAUCAAGAAUUUAUUGAAUUUUAUUAAAAAUUUAUUAUUAUAUUUUGUCGUUGGAGAUUAAUUGUAGUUAUAAUUAUGAAUUUACAUGCCAACAUCUUCGUGCCUCUAAAAUAAAUCCGUGGUUGUAAAAUAAAAUUGUCUAAAAGUUUUAAUACAAAUAGAAGAUAUCGUUUUUAACUUUAAUAAUUUGAAGAUAACGUAGCAUUAAUUUUAAAAUAUAUUUUUUUCUAAAAAAUGAAAAUAGAUACGUUUCUUCACCGUGUUUAAUAGUCUUUUAUGGUUAUUUGAAUUAAGUAUAAAUAUUUAUGGUAUAUGAUAUAGUCUUUUAUGGUUAUUUGAAUUAAGUAUAAAUAUUUAUGGUAUAUGAUUAAAUAUAAAUAUUUAUGGUAUACGAUAAAUUAAACAAAAUUAUAUAUAUAAAUACUUAUAAAAAAGAUUGUAAGUGUUUAAAUUUUAAACUAUGAAAAGGGUUUAAAAGAAAAUUUAUUCUUUUUUAAAUUAUGUAUAUUUUUUUUAUAGAUAAUCCAAAGCUACUGCAAAUGCUUAUAAAAGAAGAGAUAAGGAAAGAUUCUAAAAGUACUUAUAAUAUUACCCUUCUUUCUGUCCAAAGCCUGAACCUGGAACAGUGGAGAUUCCAGUGGCUUCCAAGAGCUUGAGACAGUAGAAAACAUCAGGCACUUUUCCUAACUUUUUAGCAGCAUCAAUGGCUUUUGGUGGUAGGCGAAUUUGUGGGAAGGAAUACAUGGCACCUGAUAAAAAAGUCAUCUUGUUUUUUGUAAUCUAAUACCAUAGACAUCGAAUUCGGAAGAAUAGAAGGAAAUGAAUUUACCUUCUGUGAAAUUGCAGAUCACAUUUCUACAGCUAUUGAAGCCAUCAGUCAUUAUUCUCGCUCUUCUCCUCAGAGAUUCAAGGAUCCCCUUGCUACAAUCCCACAAAUGAUAAACAAAGUUAGUGGUUCCCAAAAUCCUAAUAUGUUGGCGCACAUGACUAGUAAUAUCGCCUUUAGAAUAAUUCAACAACGUUAGGAUUCAAUACGGCUGGCGAGUAUUAAUGGAACUGUACUACUGUAAAAUGUGAUCUUGCUCAACGUAUAUGCCAUUAAAGAGGUGGGGAAAAGUAUUAUGUUAAGCUAGCCAUACCUUUCUCUAAUAAACUGAUCAUAUGAAAUGUCACCAGGCUUAGGUGGGUUGACCAUCAACCCCAUCUGCAAAUAAAUAAUUCAACUUUCUACAUGAGAAAAUUCAGGUGUGACAGAUCUGAAUCUGAAGGCUAAGAAACAAACAUAUAACACAUUGAGCUGACUCACAAAUAUCUGAGCAGGAACAUUUGGGCUGAGUGAUAUAGAUGCAACCUUAUAUAUUUCAUCGACCGUCUGCAGCAUAGGAUGGGAUUGAAGUUUGUUUACAUGAGUAUUAUAAAAACGCUGAAAGGAAACCUAUAGAAUUGAACAAUAAACUUAUGAUGUAAUCAAACCCUUGGAGGAAUGUUGGUCAUCUCAAAGUAUCCACCUCGCUGUCCACAUUCUCCCCAAUAUCCUUUCGACACGGUAUGGAAAGAAAUAAGCUGCAGCUCCUUGCUGAUGGGUGGGCCCAUAUCCAGCAAUACCUGAGAGAUGCAACAAAUCAGAGUAUGGAUUUGAAAACCAAAAAGAAAGUUGAGAUUAAGAUGUAACCAUUUACCUUUCUAGAACUAAUGAAGGGGCGUUCAUCUUGGUAUACAUUUUGCUGAUAAACCUCAUCUCCCAGCAAAACCAAGUUUUCUUGGAAACAGAAGUUUAGUAUCUCUCUCAGAUUUGCUUCACUAAGGCAUUGACCAGUUGGGUUCCCAGGAUUUAUGAUCACCAUAGCUCUUACCUAAACAAAAACCAACAUACAAUACAUGAGUUGUCGAGUUAUUGCAAUGACUUUAACCUAAAGACUUAGGGACAUUUGGGCUCAAACUUGAAAAUCCUUUCUACUGUAUUUAAUAUUUUGUAACCAUUCUCUUACAAAUGUAUUUGUAAUCCAUACUAAAAUAGUUUCUAUCUCAAACACAGACUAUUAUAAGUUAAAAUAUUACACCUCAAAUCACAUUAUUAUAAUCUACAGACUAUAAUAAAUAAUGACUAAAAUAGCUAACUCAGGCUCCAAACAACUCCUUGAACACACUCGUUGUUAUAUAAAUGUUAAUAAGCUACGGAUGGAAGAUCAACAAAGAUGGCUUGGUUUUAAAUUUUGAAAACCGAACACUUGAAUUCAAUUUCAUAUCAAAACACUGCAUAGAAGAUUUUGCUUUCACCAAUAAAUAAGGAAAACACACUCACAUUAAUUCCCUUGGAACGAGCCUGAGCAACGGAUUGGCGAAGGUCGUUAACAUCUAGACCCCAAUUUGCAGUCUCUUCUAGGUAGUACGGAACAAGCGAACCCCCGAACAGUGCAAUUGCGGCUGAGUAAAGAGGGUAUUGUGGAACCGGUACCAGAAUCUGAUAAGACACCAGUUUUAAACUUCACAUACAAAGAGGGUAGAGAGAAUGAAGAAAGGUAUUCACUCAAGUAUCAAUUUCCGUAGUAGAAAGCAAUCACGUUCUCAUGGUCAAUAAAGAAAAUAAGAACAAUACCCCAUCCCCUGCACCGCGGAUAAUAGUAUUCAAAAUCUGCAUAACACCUUUACUAGCACCAUCAGUGAGGUAUAUGAGUUCUGGAUCGCUGCCAUGUGAGCAGUGAACCAUAAGCAUUUCAAUCUUAUCAACUUAACUCACACACAUUUUUUAUGCAUAGAUAUAACAUGAUUAUCACCUUGGAUAGCCAUCUCGCCUUCCUAUAAAGUCUGCUACUUCCUUCCUAAUUGCAGGAAUUCCUCGGGAAUCGCUGUAAGCACCUAGAAGUAUUUUGGAAGAAUUAAAAGUUAAAACCAAUCAAUUAUAUGUAUGUCCUUCAAGAUUAGAACUUCUAUGAAACCAAGUGCUUUCAGAGCUUUCUAAGUCAGUUACACUUCCAAGUUCCGAGUAGUAAAAAAAGGAAAUUGAGUAAUGGAUGCUGUCAAGUUUAGAAAAUUUAAACAAAAUAAAUAAGGUAGACAUAAGAAACGGACAAAUGUGGUCCUGAAACCUAAUGUUAGUACCAGAGUACAAGAAAAUUUGAAACUAAAGUUGUGUUCUUGCUGUUAUGGUUUCAUUACACCCCUUCUCAACAGCAAGAUUCUUCAACGAUUAAACUGAAUCAUUCUAACAUGAGAAAGAAAAUUGAGAAAUUACCUAGGCCUCCUGGAAUCAAUGAGAGAUAAUGUUUGGCUCUUGCAAUAGCAUCAGCAGGAAAUAUUAAUCCUACAUUAGGAUCUUCUAACAGGAAGGGAGCUUGGCAAAGAGCUACAACCUGUCGAAUAAAGAGAGGUAGUUUUAUGCAGACAUCGGAACAGGGUUGCAUUCAGUUUCAAAAGAAAUAAAGAGAUCGGACAUCAACAAACAUGGAAGUGGCUGUAGCAACAAACCUGACGUGGAAAAGUCAAUGGCUUCUGUCCAAGAGCAUGAGGAUUCCCAACAUUUGUGAAAAUAAUCUGCAGAUAUAUUUGAGAUACAAGUGUAUAAGCUAGACUAUCAAAUAUACCAAGUAGAAAAGUUACUAAACAAGGGUAUCAACCGGUCUCAACGAUGCAAUGGUAACAAGAAGAUUAACUUAAAUAUAAAUCAAAGAUCAAAUUUCCAAAACUUCGAGGAUGGAUAGAGAAAGAGGAAAAGAACGAAAAGUUCAAAUGGAAUUCUGUUUAAUCAAUUUAAAUUGGAUCACGCUAGUUCACUAAUGGAACAAUGGAUAAGUAAUUUGACUCAUGAGAAAUGCCAAGUUUGUUUCAAGAACGAUGCAAUAAAGCACAGUAGGGGAGAAAGUAUUGAUGAAAGUAAAACAUAACAAGUUGACCAUACUCCUUAAAUAAUCAAAGGUAAAUUUCUUAAGAGCAGAUAAGGAACUAUAUGAUUGACAGAAAUAUAUUUAGACGAAAACUUAAUACCUUUUUUCCUUCCUUCUGAAGCUCAGAAGCUCGCAGAUAUAGUUCUCCUCUGACAGCAUACUGAGCUUUUUUCACGUUUUCAUUAAUCGAGUCAUAGUCUAGUGCCUUGCGUGACAUGGUGAUGUACUUGACUUGUUUAAUCUAUUACUCCAGUACAAGCAAACAAAGCUAGAAUUUACCAACCAAAGAAGAAUCUGCCCUGAACCUGAAAUUUACAAGAGAGUGAAAUGUAAGAUAAACAAGAAACCAAAUGCACAAGUCCUUCAAAGCUCUUAGGAGGGUAAGAAAACAUGGGCCUGAUAUUACAGCUUUUCAUGUCUUUUAUCACAGAUUCACACAAAGCAUUGAGAAUAUACAAAAUGAUUAAUAUAUAUAUAUAUAUAUAUACCCUAACCUAUGUAGCUUAACCAUUUAAAUUUAGUCCUAGCUUAAUAUGUUUAGAACUGAUUCUAAAAUGGUUAAAAACACUUAUACGAUUUGAUGGAACAUGGUCUUAACAUUUCAAUGAAAUCAAAAUUCGUAAAAUUAAAUAUUAAAUUUAUUUUCUAGUGAUUUUGAACGUAACAAAGUAACUGUAUAUCUUGUCAAUGUAACUCCCGUUUUAUAAUGGCAUUUCUUUUUCCGCUUAAUAUAUUAGUUCACAUUCUGAGUUUCGUGAGUCAAAUUGAUAUCUAAUCCAAUGCACCAAUAGGAAUGUUGAUAGUUUUAUGAUUUACGUAAAUGAAUCCGCAGAAAACAUCAGUAAACUUCAAUCGAUAUACUCCAUAAAACUUCAGGCUACUCGUCUUUCACCAAGAACUACGACUGGAAGAAAACUAAAAGUGCACAGUCGAAGGCUCAAAAAACAUCCAUUCUUCCAAUAUGAGAAGAUAGAAAAAAGUGAACAAAUGCGAGUGAUUGAUAACAGCAAUAUAAAUGAACUAAAUUGGCUCAUAGCAGUCUAAUCUAUGUAAAAGAAUAAACCAAAAAUCUCAUAGCUCUUUUGAUUUCUGAAGUCUUGCAAAGGAAGAACUGCGCAUCGAUACAAACGAGGAAGAAAUCCACAAACAAACAACACAGAAUAGCAUGAACUUUCACUAAUGAUCAAAACCCACCAGAAUUAAGACAGCUAGACUACUCCAGCAAGCCACAGAUCAAGAAAAACUAAAACAGAACAAAUAAAUGACUAAUGAUCAAAACCCACAAAGAGUUAAACUAACAACAUCACAUAUUCAUUCAACAAUGGAUUCAUAACGCAACAAUAAGCAAGAAAUUCAAAGAUUAAUCAUAAGAAUGCAAAGGAAACACUAUCAAAUCCCAGUGAAAACCAAGGAUGAUUUAAAGAACUAGAUGAGUAAUCAGAUUAAAACAAACAACUAAAGAUGAAUUUAUUUAUGAUUAAAAAAACCGGAGAUGGGUUCAAUACGGUAUGGCGUAGGGAGGUCAAAACUGACCUUUGUUGGAGCGAAUCGCUGCAGAAGAGAGGGAAACUAGUGAGGAAAUGCAGCGAUACUCAACUGACACACAAAAUUGGGACCCGGGUCUAAGUGAAAGUUGGAUAUUGGGGAGGCGGAAUUAUGUGGCAAUAAAAUUGAACGUAACGAUGCAUCAGAGCCACUGAAAAUUCGAGUAUGGAUUUUCUUUUCCAUAUUGGAGAAAAAAAAAGAGAUAAAGUUCAUGAAACUAUUAAAAGUGUGGCGUAGCUUCAUACAGAAAAUUUAGUUUGAUAGAGUGAUGAAAUUUGGUGGCUAUGUUUCUUUGGCUCGAUGGUCAGACAUUGGACAAAUGAAAUCAAUAAGUAGUGGUGGGCGUUUUUCAAUAUUCUUUAAAAACAAAAAUUUAAUGUGAACAAAACUUAUAGAAACCUGACAAAGUGAGAUACACCCUUAUGGUGAGGUCAAGAGGCAGAGAACCAUAUAGAUAUCCUUGUUAAAGCCUUUUUAGUUAGACAAUGAGAUGUGAUGUCCUUUAAAAAGAAAAAAAUAGUUAAAAGUUUCUUGCAUAAUUGAUAUUUUAGAUACAAAAAAUCAUUACAUGUUGGCUCAAAAGGUGUUAGUUUUAUGAUUGUUAUGAUUUGUUUGGAUUGAUCUACCGAAAAAAAAAUGUUUUUCAAUAAAUUAAUUUUUGUUUAAACUAUUUUUUCUAAAAACUUGUUUAAAAUACACUUAAAAUUUUAUUUUGAGUGACUCAUAUACUAAAAAAAUAUUUAUUUUAAAAAAAUUAAAUUUACCUUAUUUUAAAGAUCUCUCGAUUCGUUCUUCCUUCAAAAUAGAGAGGAGUUUGGGAUCCUCUUUAAGUAAAUUAUCUUAAGUUUUUCUAUAAAAAGUUGACUUGACAAGGAAUCAUCAAAUGAGUAGUUUUUUUUAAAAAAUAAUUAUUUUCGUGCUUUUGCAAUAGUCAAGAGAGUGAUUUUCUUUUAGUUCAAUGAGUGAGGUAGAGAUAUUUGAAAAUGUAAAUGUAUGUCUUAACCAAUUUUCGCCUACUUGGUAAUUUGAUUUAAUACAUUUGAUAAAAAAAAACGAGGCUUACAUUAAUUAUGUUAAUAGUGGCUUGUGAACGUAAUGUUCAAAUCUAACAUCUUUUACUUAUUUUAAAAGGAGGACUGAAUUACUUCUCCCAUAAAUGAGUUAUUUGGUUAACUAUGGAGGUGACCUAUAAUUUGACUAUAAGAGUUAGACAAAUCAAUCUACGAGAUGAAUCAAAAUUCAAUAUGUAUUCUAAGUAGGAGUGUUCAUGGUUCAGUUCGGUUCGGUUUCAAGCUAAAAUUGCAUCGAACCGUAAAAUGAAAAAAAAAACCUCAUACAAAAUCAAACCAAACCGGACCGCAUAGUUUGGUUUAAAUUCCAUAAAAUUUUAGGCCAUUAAAGCAUUAAAUUCUACAAAUUUUUCCUUUUUAAUAGAUAUUAGUCAACAAACGUAACCAAGUUUUAGAAAUAAAACCUUUAUGAAUACUUCUUUAAAUUUAUUUAAAUGAAGUAGUUCAGUUCAGUUUUAGAAUCAACUUAAAACAUUAAAUUAAACUGAACCACAUAAAAAGCGGUUUUUAACACAAAUCGUACAGAACUGAAUACAAACAAUUUCCAUUCGAUUCGAUUCAAUUCAAUUUGUCAAAUUAGUUUGGUUUUCAAAUAUUUUAUGAACACCCAUACGUUAAAAGUAAAAGGCAUGGACUCAAGGUAGCUCAUGUGCCUUGUGAAGGCCAACACUAGCCGAGCUGCCAUGAUGGGCAAGUUUUGCUUAAUUGUUUUAAACACAACCCAUGUACUUUGAUUUAUCAAUUUGUAAUGGCAAGUUAAAAUAGUAACAAUUAAAUUAAUUAUAAAAAAAGAUUAAUAAGUAAAAAAUGGUUACAAAAUUAUAUUUUAUAAAAUAAUGAACCAAACUUAACAUAUACGGUGCAAUAAAAACGUUAUCCGUUCUUCGUUGAUUAGAUCUUUAAAUUAUUAUUAACUUGACGGUUGGAGAGUGUCCUUAGCUAAGUACCAUACUAAUGCUAUAUUUUAUUGUUUCUUUUUUGGAUAAUUGUCCAAUUCAUUCUAGUAAUUGCAAAUUUACAACUAAUACCAAAUUUCAAUAUCAAUAACUUGUUUUCAAGUUUCACGUUUUAUGUCUAUUUUUGGUUGAUGCCAAGGUACCUUCAAUCUUUGAUGAUGAUGAUUUUAUUUUACUUUUAUAUUUAUAAAAUUAUUGUUUGUUUUCUCCAAAGUUCUCUUAUACUUAUUUGAAGUAGAAAUUUAUUAAAAUAUAAAAAGAAGGUUGAGAUCUAAAACAACUCAUUAUUUAAUUUGAAAUGAAAAGGAAAAUUUAAACAAAUAAGUACACGUUUCUCAAUUAUUAAAAAUUUUAGUCCUUUAAUAAAUUAGAAACAUUCAAUCAAAGUUAAUGAUACUAAGACAAAAUUUAAAACAACGAAGAAAAUAAGCGUGAAAGUUUAAAAGUUUGCAAUUUUCUGUUAGAUACAUUUUUUGAAUUAGUAAAAUAAAUUAAAAUAUUUAUAAAUUAGAACAAAAUUUUAUAACUAACUAUCAAACAUUUGAUAUGAAUAUAAAAUUUUGGUAUAGUUUGUAAAAAUUUUUUUGGUUAAAUUUACUAUUUUUACUAUUGUUAUUUAUUUUAACAUGCUGUUAAAAAGGUGUCCAAAAUACCCUAUUUUAAAAUGUCAUUAUCUCUACGAAAACAUACGAAUGUUAAAAAACGUCAUCCUUUACUGGAUUUUCAAUUUGUACCCAGCAGAUAAAAUGGCGCCUCAGUACUAGUCAUCAGAGUCGGCGACAUAUCGCUCCCUUCGGUUUUCGUUCAGAAACCCUAGCAAACCCCUCAAAUCCUCCCAAAGUUCACUGUCGUACUCCAUCAGAUGUUCGAAGCUAAAGAGACUAAUGGUGGGCGAUACUAGUGGAAUGAUCCUUUCUAUUCAAUUUAAAACUCUGCUUCUUCAUCGAUCUCGAUACCAAUCACUAAUCUCCAAGGCGAAGAAAAUUGAAUUGCAGCAGAGGCCAGAUUCUGGUAUUGUAAACGCCUAUCUUCUAUUUAUUCUUGUUUCUUUUUCUACAUGUUAAUAUACAACCCAUGUCAAUUUAAUUGUGGAUGCUUUUGUAAAAGAUGCUGAUAUUUAAUUAAAUAGGAGGAGACUAUUCCAGUGGUUAAUAGAUGUCGCAUCACACUCUCUAAGGAGUCUCAGUUUGAAUUCAUACAUUUCUUGCAUUGACACCUUAUUUUUUCAUAAUUAUUUGUGUAAUGUUUUGCAACUUCUAAAAAUUGAAAAACCCAAUUAUUUGUACUCAACAGAAAACUUAUCCCUAAUUUUCAUCCAGUUCAUCUCGUUAAGAGGCCUAGCAAAUAAAUAUGUUAUAUUAAUUUUAUGCAUACUCCAUUUUAGUUACGUUAAUUAACAUUUUUAAAAAUUCAAAUGCAAUUUAAAAAUGAAACUCAUAUUCAAUAUCAAAUUCAAUAUUGAAUUCGAUAAAGACCCCUAGCUUUAUCUCAAAUCUACCAAACCCUAAACUAUUGUUUAAUAUAAUGUAUUCAAAUUUCAUCUAAAUUCAUAGACUAUUUAAAUUUUGUAUAAUUUUCUAAUUGCAAUAAAAAAAAAUAUACCUACAUAUACAUAUGCACUAAACUAUACAUAUAUAUACAUUGCACAUUACACAUUAAAUAUACAUAUAACACAUAAAAUUAUACUUACAUAAAAAUAUACCUACAUAUACAUAUACAUACACCCUAAACAUAUACACAUACACAUUAAAUAUACAUAUAACACAUACACACAUAAAGUUAUACUAACACACACAAUAAACAUAUACCAAAAGCUACUUAACGAAGUCCGUAUUCUUGUAGUGACUAAAGCAGUAACGAGAUGUCAAUCUAAUUGAAUAAAUCCAAUUUGAGCAAAGAAAAAAAAAACUAGCUACUUCAAUGUAUGACAUAAUUCACUAAUCUAAUAAGAUAGUGCCUUGAGUGAGAUAUUGUCUCCCUCCUCUUAACGCUCAAAACUACGGUUGAGGAAAUAUCACACACAGAUUGUAAACAAAUAUAAUUGCACAACAUUGACAAGAUCAGGUUCCAUGGAUCAAAAUCACUCAACAAAACAAAACAUAAUGAAUUAGCCAAUCUAAUAACAAAGGAAAACAAAAUAACAAAAUCAAUAACCCUACCUUACCAUGUAACAAAAUUAUUAUAAGAUUAUUAAUAUAACAAAAUCAUUAUAUUUUUUAAUUAGUAUACCUCCUACCUGGCUUCAGUCCUAACAUUUGACAUAAUUGCUCAGUUGGUAAGCUUUCACUAAAUUAAGUCAAGUCACAUUGUGUACCUGGUACACUAAUUUCCUCCGUACCAAAAUUACUAUAUCUUUUACAACUGUUUAAACUUUAACAACUGGUUUAUUUAUUCUUUUAAAUCUACCCCAUUUUUAUCAUUAAUUUGAAAAAGAAUAUUAUUUUUGAGAUUAAUUCAUAAAAGAGUAAAAACGAUAGUAAAUAGUAAAUAUGGUAGCAAAUAGAAAUUUUGAAAUGGUCUGGAAGAUAAUUAAAAAAUAUAAAAUUAAUAUUUAGUAAUUAUUAACAUCAAUUUCGAAUUAUCAAGAAAUGACGUUGAGAUUGAGGAACUUCAAAAUUACACGAACUUAAACAUCAUAAUUUGGGGAUUCUAAAUUUCACAUUUUAAAGAAAAGUGGGACGAAUAGGGAAAUAAAAUAACGAGUAUUUCUAUUAAGCAUUGGGAAGAGAAUGCUUCUAGUUGUAGUAAAUUGCAUUGAAAAAUCAACGAAGAAGCCACUUUACUAGAAAAUGAGGCGCACGGUUCCAUAAAAGAAAAGAAGUUUUACUAUAAAAGAAGAGAGAAAAGUUUAAACCAUAGCAUUCCCUUAGACAGAUUUGUCAAUUUUAAACUUCUUUUUUCCUAUUAUCUUCAUUAAUUUUAAAACUUUUAUUUUUUACUUAUCACCAAAAAGAGAAAAAAAAAUCAUUCUCAUUUAGUUACCUAUAUUUUAAGUUUGUUUUAUUUCAGUACAUGAAUUUUCAAAAUGCUUCCUUUGUUUCCUCAAAUUUCAUGCUUUCUUUUGACCUAUGUAGCUUCAAACUUAUCAAAGUGCAUGCCCUUAUUACUGCCUCAGUAAAUUCUUUUUUUUUUCUAAUAACAAUAUAUGGGGUGAUGAAAUGGAACUUCUAAGAGUACAACUUUAUGCUAUUUGAGGAGUCAUACUGAUUUUGGCUUACUUCAUUUACAAAGAAAGGUUUGAUAAGUAUGAUUAUUCUGGUAAAGUUUAUAUUAGAGUUAGUUAUCCUUGCCCUUCAGUUAGUUCUCUAGUUACUUUCUAACUCUUGUAACAGUGGCUAUAUCUUUGCCAUCUUUUGAACCCAAUAAAUUAACCCAAUAGUUUAUAUAAAAACCAACAUUUUAAUAGAUUAGGUGACAAAAUAAAGUAAAUUCAAAAUUCAAAAAAUAUAUAUAUAUGAUUAUUUUCAAAGAUAUUUAAGAUUGUAAAUGAACUGAAUUUAAGAAGUUGAUAACAAAAUAUAGAAGCUCAACCCUAUAAAAAAGAAUAAUUAGAAGGUAAAAUUUUGGUUCUUCCUGCCCAUCUGAAUGGCAGAAACCACCAGCUUUGACUGGCUACGUUUUACAAUCUCUAUACAGUGCACCAACUAAGAAAAGAAACGAACAAAAAAAAGAGAAAAAACAAAGAUUGGAAAGGGUAAUAGCUAAAGUUAAGAAGCCAUGGAGCUGUUAUUCAAUUAGCCCUUUCGACAUGUCGGCUAAAAACAACCUCUAAGUCGGGAGGCUUGAAGAAUUGGCGCACGUUGCCGUGGUUGAAUUUCAACGAAGAUUUAGGCUUCUUAGGGGCGGGUGGGCAUUUGGAACCCGAUAGGAUCCGGCAUUCAUCUCCAGUAGGCGUCGGCGGUUGGUCUUCAUUGUCGCAAUGACUGUGUUCUUUGUUAAUGGUGAGCAAUAGAGGAGGUCGUAAUUGAAUUCCAGUAAUGACCCAUUUUUCGGGGUCAAAUUCGAACCCCAUGUCCUUACGGAAGUUUUCUGAGAACGGCAUUAAUUUUAAAGGGAUGGUGGUGGUGGUGGUGGUGGUGGUGGGAAAAGGAGAGAAAGAUGAAGGGAAGUAAUAUAGAAGGAGGGGAAUAAAGAGAGGAAUAAAAGGAAGUGAAAGGGGAGGUGGAAAGUGAUCGAAAGUGUUGGUGCUGUGGAUUUACAAAGAAGAAUAUGGAAAGUGACUUUGGCCUAAUUUUAAUUUGCUUUUUGUUUGUUGCAGCUAAAGAGGAGUGUUUUUCUU